rnacentral:lncRNA from 1 species
CAUUUAGUAACUUAUGAUUCCAAAUUGUUUUCCAGAACUGUUGGCCUGCUUUAUAACUCCAUCAACAAUGAAUCAGCGUGCCUGUCUUCCCACAGCAACUCCAACAUUUAAUUUUUCAAUUUAUGUAUUGAAAAAAUCUGACCUUGUGUUUAAAGAUGAUUAUUCCAACAUUGAAGCUAUGAAACUGUGCCUGUAUUGCCCUCAAAACAAGCCACUGAACCAAGUUUUGGACUCCAUCAUUCAAAGGGACAGGCACAUUUCAGACAUAAUCAGAACCAGGAUGGAUAAUGUUCUGAUACUACUUUCUUCAGUAGGUGUCAAGUAACAGGCAGUGUGGCCCACUGGCCCCAAAAUUGGAAGAUCUGUAUUCAAAUCCUGCCUCUGCCUCAACCCGCCUGUGUGACCACAGAGAAGUCUCUUCCUUUCUCAGGCUCAGACAUACUCUGCAAGAUGAAGAGCUUCAGAGGAGGUACUGACCUGUACCGGUAAAGGCAGUUUUCUUCCCUGGGAAUUCCCUAGACUAAUGAAAUCACAAGUCUAGUCAGUCUCCAUUUGGAAUCACUUGUAUUUUC